rnacentral:rRNA from 1 species
UACGUAGGGUGCGAGCGUUGUCCGGAAUUAUUGGGCGUAAAGAGCUCGUAGGCGGUGUGUCGCGUCGGCCGUGAAAACCUGGGGCUCAACUCUGGGCGUGCGGUCGAUACGGGCAUCACUUGAGUUCGGCAGGGGAGACUGGAAUUCCUGGUGUAGCGGUGAAAUGCGCAGAUAUCAGGAGGAACACCGGUGGCGAAGGCGGGUCUCUGGACAGUUCCUGACGCUGAGGCACGAAGGUCAGGGGAGCAAACGGG